rnacentral:rRNA from 1 species
UCUAGCCAUGGUCAGGUUGAAGGUUGGGUAACACUAACUGGAGGACCGAACCUACUAAUGUUGAAAAAUUAGCGGAUUACUUGUGGCUGGGGAUGAAAGGCCAAUCAAACCGGGAGAUAGCUGGUUCUCCCCGAAAUCUAUUUAGGUAGAGCCUUGAGGUGACACCUUUGGGGGUAGAGCACUGUUUCGGCUAGUGGUCCAUCCCGAAUUACCAACCCGAUGCAAACUACGAAUACCAAAGAGUGAUACUCAGGAGACACACGGCGGGUGCUAACGUCCGUCGUGGAGAGGGAAACAACCCAGACCGCCAGCUAAGGUCCCCAAGUCUAUAUUAAGUGGGAAACGAAGUGGGAAGGCUUAGACAGCUAGGAUGUUGGCUUAGAAGCAGCCAUCAUUUAAAGAAAGCGUAAUAGCUCACUAGUCGAGUCGGCCUGCGCGGAAGAUGUAACGGGGCUGAAAUAUAGCACCGAAGCUGCGGCAUCAGGCGUAUCACUAAUACGCCUUACGAUUAACAAGCUAGAAUGGCGCGAAGCGACAUGAAAGGUUGUUCAAGCAACCCGAACGUUGAGUCGGGCAUCUUAGAGUGAGGAUUAUUAGUGAUACGCCUGUUGGGUAGGGGAGCGUUGUGUAAGCGGAAGAAGGUUCAUCGAGAGGUGGGCUGGACGUAUCACAAGUGCGAAUGCUGACAUAAGUAACGAUAAAACGGGUGAAAAACCCGUUCGCCGGAAGACCAAGGGUUCCUGUCCAACGUUAAUCGGGGCAGGGUGAGUCGGCUCCUAAGGCGAGGCUGAAAAGCGUAGUCGAUGGGAAACAGGUUAAUAUUCCUGUACUUGGUAAAGCUGCGAUGUGGGGACGGAGUAGGUUAGGUUAUCGCACUGUUGGAUAUGUGCGUUUAAGUUGGUAGGUGGGAAGUUUAGGCAAAUCCGGACUUCCUUAACACAGAGAGAUGAUGACGAGGCUCUACGGAGCUGAAGUAACUGAUACCACACUUCCAGGAAAAGCCACUAAGCGAAAGGCUUUACUAAACCGUACUGAAAACCGACACAGGUGGUCAGGUAGAGAAUACUCAGGCGCUUGAGAGAACUCGGGUGAAGGAACUAGGCAAAAUAGCACCGUAACUUCGGGAGAAGGUGCGCCGGCGUAGAUUGUAGUCCCUUGCGGAUGAAGGUUGAACCGGUCGAAGUGACCCGCUGGCUGCAACUGUUUAUUAAAAACACAGCACUCUGCAAACACGAAAGUGGACGUAUAGGGUGUGAUGCCUGCCCGGUGCUGGAAGGUUAAUUGAUGGUGUAAUCGCAAGAGAAGCACCUGAUCGAAGCCCCAGUAAACGGCGGCCGUAACUAUAACGGUCCUAAGGUAGCGAAAUUCCUUGUCGGGUAAGUUCCGACCUGCACGAAUGGCAUAAUGAUGGCCAGGCUGUCUCCACCCGAGACUCAGUGAAAUUGAAAUCGCCGUGAAGAUGCGGUGUACCCGCGGCUAGACGGAAAGACCCCGUGAACCUUUACUAUAGCUUGACACUGAACAUUGAAUUUUGAUGUGUAGGAUAGGUGGGAGACUUAGAAGUAGUCACGCCAGUGAUUAUGGAGUCGACCUUGAAAUACCACCCUUUAACGUUUGAUGUUCUAACGAAGAUGACGAAACGUGGUCUCGGACAGUGUCUGGUGGGUAGUUUGACUGGGGCGGUCUCCUCCCAAAGCGUAACGGAGGAGCACGAAGGUUUGCUAAUCACGGUCGGACAUCGUGAGGUUAGUGCAAUGGUAUAAGCAAGCUUAACUGCGAGACAGACAAGUCGAGCAGGUACGAAAGUAGGUCAUAGUGAUCCGGUGGUUCUGAAUGGAAGGGCCAUCGCUCAACGGAUAAAAGGUACUCCGGGGAUAACAGGCUGAUACCGCCCAAGAGUUCAUAUCGACGGCGGUGUUUGGCACCUCGAUGUCGGCUCAUCACAUCCUGGGGCUGAAGUAGGUCCCAAGGGUAUGGCUGUUCGCCAUUUAAAGUGGUACGCGAGCUGGGUUUAGAACGUCGUGAGACAGUUCGGUCCCUAUCUGCCGUGGGCGUAGGAGAAUUGGUUGGGGCUGCUCCUAGUACGAGAGGACCGGAGUGGACGCACCACUGGUGUUCCGGUUGUGUCGCCAGACGCAUUGCCGGGUAGCUAAGUGCGGAAGAGAUAAGUGCUGAAAGCAUCUAAGCACGAAACUUGCCAAGAGAUGAGUUCUCCCAAUCUAAGAGAUAGUAAGGGUUGUUGUAGACUACGACGUAGAUAGGUCUGGUGUGUAAGUGUAGUGAUACAUUGAGCUAACAGAUACUAAUUGCCCGAGAGGCUUAACUAUACAACGCUCAAG